rnacentral:rRNA from 1 species
AUGACACGCACAAAUCGAGAAAUGGUCCAAAUUUUUUUUGAGAUUUUCCACGCAAGUACCUGGAGCCUUAUUUCUUGCACUCCUGUGUGUGCUGCUAUUCUUACUGAAAGGCCCUUUAGUUUCCUUUCUCUAUCAGAGAGGUCCUCAAUACUGCCUUUUUAA